rnacentral:lncRNA from 1 species
AUGGAGAAAGGCGGCUCAGAAUGCUGGCACCUGCUGCAGGGAGCAGCAUCCUGCUGCCAUGGGCCACACAGCCAUGGGUGUGGGGGAAUUUUUGGGAGCAGGGAGGUGCAGCACGUGGAGAUAACUGGUGCUUGGUUGGGCUGUGGUGGGUAUCACCCUCCACAAGAAGUGUUUGAUGGAGUUUUCUCCUCUUCCAGAGCUGGUGGUGCCCAAAACCUGAUCCUGGGAGCUGGCCCCUGUCAGCUGCUCCUGCUGGGAAAGCAUUCACCAUGGAGAAGAAUUUUGUGUUCAGCUUCUCAACCCUUGGCCUGCGUUGUCUCAAGGUGCUUUGAACUGCUCUGCAGCGGGAGCUCUGGUUGUUCUUAGGAAACAUCAGAGCCUGGUUUGUGCUGGGCAGAGGCUUGGAGUGUGGGGAGGAAGGGAUUUAAACCUUCCUAUGGAUCCAAAGCAGUGUGGGCAGCAGGAAAGGGGUUGGGAUUGUGCCCCUCUGCCCUGCUCAGGUGAGACCCCACCUGCAGAGCUGCCCCAGCCCUGGGGCCCAGCACAGGAAGGAGCUGGAGCUGCUGGAGAGAGCCCAGAGGAGGCACCAGGGUGAGCAGAGGGAUGGAGCAGCUCUGCUGGGAGGAAAGGCUGGCACAGCUGGGACUGGUCACCUGGAGAAGCUGUGGGGUGACCUAAUGGUGGCUUUCCAGGGCCUGAAGGUGCAAGAAAGAUGGAGACUAUUUCCUAGGGCCUGGAGUGACAGGACAAGGGGGAAUGGCUCCAAACUGACAGAGAGUAGGGUUAGAUUAAAUACAAGAAAGAAAUUCUUCCCUGUGAGGGUGCUGAGGCCCUGGCACAGGGUGCCCAGAGCAGCUGUGGCUGCCCCUGGAUCCCUGGAAGUGCUCCAGGCCAGGUUGGAUGGGGCUUGGAGCAACCUGGGAUAGUGGAAGGUGUCCCUGCCCAUGGCAGGUGGAUGCAAUUGGUUGGUCUGUCAGGUGCCUUCCAAACCAGGCUAUCCUGUGAUUCCAUGAUUCAAUGGUGGCAUCCCACAGGAGAAACUGGACCUUGGAGCUGACCUUCCUGGAGGAACUGUGACUUUGCUUUGGAAUUGUUGUUGCUUUUUCUUUUAAUCCUCUGGAUUUUCAUUUCUUCCAAGGAGCCACGUGUCACGUGACAGGUGAAUUUGAGCAGACCUCACACCACGAGCACCCAUCUGAGCAUCUCUCCCCACCAGCUCAGGGUCUGCACCUCCGAAUGUUUGAAUCCACAUGAAUCAGACAAGGAGAGGGGCUUGUUACCAUGGCCAGAAUUGAUUCAAAAAGUGUUUGUAAAGAGCAUUGAGGCUGGACAUGCUUGGACUGUGUGCUCCUGAGCUGUAAGAUUU